GGAAUAUUGGACAAUGGGCGAAAGCCUGAUCCAGCAAUGCCGCGUGUGUGAAGAAGGUCUUCGGAUUGUAAAGCACUUUCGACGGGGACGAUGAUGACGGUACCCGUAGAAGAAGCCCCGGNUAACUUCGUGCCAG
rnacentral:rRNA from 1 species